AAUUAAUCUGCUAAAGAGGCUUAGAAGAACAUCAAGGAUGAGAGCAGAAAUUAAUGUUAUGAAAGGAAGUUUACAAGAGGAUUAUCAUCUGAAAAUGAAGGUUUUGUGGAAAAGACAAUUUCCAUCUUUGGAUGUGUAAAUAGGAGAAUAUAGGCUGAAAGUUUAGACUGAAAUAUUGACUGUGGCUCCAAAUGGUUGUGGAACUCAGGGAAAAAAAGAAGUGCCAAAGUCUCAUGUCUACAUGUCAAAAAGGCAAGGAGCUAGGAAUGACCAGAGUCCUCAAAAACUUACCUUGGGGUGAGAAAGUCAACAAACGUAUAUUGCAUUUUUGGACACAAGAGUGCCAGUAACUCAGUGGUCAUAACGUCUCUCGGUUAUUCUUCUGGGACAGCAGCAUAACUAGCAGCAAACCAUAUGCGAAAUGAAGGCACAGAGUUUUCACAUGGUGUGCAGCUGAAGAAAGGAGAAUAACCAAAAAGCAUAAUCUGGGA